CUCGUAGUUGGAUUUCGGAUUAAUGGGAGUUAAGGUCCAUCAAUUUGAUGUGUACCUUAUUCUCGUUUCCUUCCUUUUGAAUACACUCCCUGAAAUUUUUUUUUGGGGAUCAAAGUGUUUCAAAUCUUUUACUGUGAAGAAAUUAGAGUGUUCAAAGCAGGCGUAAUCUAGCCUUUGAAUAUAUUAGCAUGGGAUAAUGAAAUAGGACUUUAGUUCUACUUUCGUUGGUUUCUAGGGCUAAAGUAAUGAUUAAUAGGGAUAGUUGGGGUCACUAGUAUUUAAUUGUCAGAGGUGAAAUUCUAAGAUUUAUUAAAGACUAACUACUGCGAAAGCAUUUGACAAGGAUGUUUUCAUUAAUCAAGAACGAAAGUUGGGGGAUCGAAGAUGAUCAGAUACCGUCGUAGUCUCAACCAUAAACUAUGCCGACCAAGGAUCCGGGGGUGUUAAAUAUGGAUGACUCUCCGGGCACUUAUAGAGAAAUCAUAAGUAUUUGGGCUCCGGGGGGAGUAUGGUCGCAAGGCUGAAACUUAAAGGAAUUGACGGAAGGGCACCACAAGGAGUGGAACCUGCGGUUUAAUUUGACCCAACACGGGGAAACUUACCAGGUCCAGACACAGUGAGGAUUGACAGAUUGAGAGUUCUUUCUUGAUUCUGUGAGUGGUGGUGCAUGGCCGUUUCUAGUUGGUGGAGUGAUUUGUCUGGUUAAUUCCGUUAACGAACGAGACCUUAACCUAUUAAAUAGUUGCUUGAACACAUGAAUAUUUUAUUCUUUGUUCGGUUAACUUCUUAGAGGGACUCUUCACUGAGAGAGUGAAUGGAAGUUUGAGGCAAAAACAGGUCUGUGAUGCCCUUAGAUGUUCUGGGCCACACGCGCGUUACACUGACAUAUUCAACGAGCAUUUUCCUGGCCCGAUGGAGUUGGGUAAUCUUUUAAAUGUAUGUCGUGCUGGGGAUAGAUCAUUGUAAUUAUUGGUCUUGAACGAGGAAUUCCUAGUAAGUGCAAGUCAUCAACUUGCGCUGAUUACGUCCCUGCCCUUUGUACACACCGCCCGUCGCUCCUACCGAUUGAAUGGUCCGGCGAGAACUCAAGAUGGAAAUAGGUUUUGGACACCGUCAGGUGCUCCAACUAUAUCCAGAAUUUGUUCAAACCUUACCAUUUAGAGGAAGGAGAAGUCGUAACAAGGUUUCCGUAGGUGAACCUGCGGAAG
rnacentral:rRNA from 1 species